rnacentral:lncRNA from 1 species
UGCGAGCAGGGACAAGCUGGGUGCUCACUCAUGGCAUCUUAUCUGUUGCAGAUAGUCCACUGUGUGCAGAGGCAUGGGAGUUGUCAUGUUGGGAACAUGCUAGACCUCAGUAUCCUUGAGGGAUGCUGCCUUGGGUCUGGAAACUGUUAGAGGAAACCCCAAGAGGUGCAGGCACUGAGCCUCUCAGGACAAUGACCUGGGGUCCCAGCUCCCCUGGAGGGGCCUCCUCAUGAUUGUUUGGGGGUUGAUCACAGACCAAGAGUGACGAGUGAUGUCACCCUGUGACUCAUGGCUGGACCUUCUUGCCCCUAUUGUCUCAGCACAACAUUAUUCGACUUUUCCCUCAGCGUGGGUGGGCAGAGGAAAAGCCCUGUGGCUCUGGGGACUUGGGAUCCAGAGUUGAAGACCCUUCAGCUGGCUCUGCCCUGCCAGUGCCACAGAGUGCCAUGGCCCAGGAAGACAGGUUUUCUUCCAUCUAGGCCAGGCCAUCCAGUGGCCAUCCUCCGUGUCCUCCCGCCUCCUCCUGGUGUGACUUCUGAAAACCAAGAAUUUGUUCCUGUUGACUUUUUCUGUGCUAUGGACCAUUGUCCUCUCACCCACUCAAUAAAUCUUGAAACAUGC